CAAGGCCUUCAAUAUUUCUGUCCCUUUCUAUGUGAAGGGCACAUGUGAAGCCAGCUGCAGUCCCUGGAAGGCACUGAUGUGACCGUGGAGCACUGCUGUGCAACCACACCACCCAAAAAGCAUGGUGGGAGCUGAGCUGCUUGAUUCCAUGCUCUGCUCAAAAACAACCAGGCACAGAGAGAUCCUGGGAACAUUUAAGUGUCUCUUUUCACCACAGCAUGAGUGGGAAAAUGUGACUCACAUCACAGAGAUGGUGAAGCAACAGAAUUCCUGAGAGGAGCGCUGCAAACUGGAUGGACUUUGUUGUGAUGGCUGUGAGGAGCUCGCUGGUGGAUCGCCUCAUUGUAAAGAUUUGGAGUCUUCAAGAAUACUUUUACUUAAGUAAUUAUCCCGUAGAGAGCUUCACUGCCAAGUAGAAGAGGCCCUUUCUCUCAGAAGAUGGGAUGAAUGUAUUUCUGCACUCAGCCACUCCGAAAACCCUUUUCCAAGGGAUGCGUCCUCUCUGAACUUGGCAGGAAUGCGCUUGACAUUAAUUGUAGGACCAGGCAGCACCGCUUCUGACCGCUGGUGAGGGAACAGCUGAGAAAUUUCAUUCUCAACACUGGUGCCUUUGGCUCUGGUUGGAAUGGCACAUCACUCACAAGACGCAGUGACACACACAGCGUGGAGAGUUAUGUCCUUCCUGUGGAUCAUUUACACACGCUUACGUUUAUACAUUUUUACUUUCCAGUGGUGUUAAUAUGGCACCCCCUGGAGGAAAUAUGUUUGAAAACACUUGAAGAAAAUAUUAAUUAAAAUCCCCUUUGAAACCAAUGCUUUAAACAGACUGUAAAUUUUCCCAGUUAUCUAUGGAGAGGGGCCUUUGCAGAAACGUUUGUGUCAUUUUUAUCUGUAGGCAGUCUUUCAUCCUGAGAUGACACAUGCAAUUUUUUUCCUCCUUAGACUAAACGUGUCAGUCUAAGACUCUUACUGUGUAAGUGCUGGAGAAUUAAGGAGUCAAAAAGGAAACCCAGAAUGGCAUCCA